GGGCCCGUAGAUCAACGGUAGAUCGCCACCUUUGCAACACAAACGCAGAAUAGGUGGAGGCUCUGGGUUCGAAUCCCAGCGGGUCCA
rnacentral:tRNA from 1 species